UACGGCGCGGGAUGGGCCGGAGCGUUUCGGUUACCACUGUUAAUGGAGAGGCUGCGGGUUCGAGUCCCGCCGCCGGCGC
rnacentral:tRNA from 1 species